AGUGAACGCUCGCGGUAGGCCUAACACACGCAAGUCGAACGGCAGCACAGUAAGAGCUUGCUCUUACGGGUGGCGAGUGGCGGACGGGUGGGGAAUACAUCGGAAUCUACUUGUUCGUGGGGGAUAACGUAGGGAAACUGACGCUAAUACCGCAUACGACCUACGGGUGAAAGCAGGGGAUCUUCGGACCUUGCGCGAUUGAAUGAGGCGAUGUCGGAUUAGCUAGGUGGCGGGGUAAAGGCCCACCAAGGGGACGAUCCGUAGCUGGUCUGAGAGGAUGACCAGCCACACUGGAACUGAGAGACGGUCCAGACACCUACGGGAGGCAGCAGUGGGGAAUAUUGGACAAUGCGCGCAAGCCUGAUCCAGCCAUACCGCGUGGGUGAAGAAGGCCUUCGGGUUGUAAAGCCCUUUUGUUGGGAAAGAAAAGCAGCAGGUUAAUACCCCGCUGUUCUGACGGUACCCAAAGAAUAAGCACCGGCUAACUUCGUG
rnacentral:rRNA from 1 species